UCUAAUUAAAACACCUUAGACUCAACAGUCAUUGGAUCAAGGCACCUGAGCGAAGUGGUACAGGCACGGAAAACCAGUUCUCUGCUGAAGAGGGCCAGAGUAAAGAACCAACGGACGCAAGGUUAUUCGACUAGCAAAGACUUCCUUCAUCAGCCGACAGGUUCUUAUGAAGAAUGAAGACCUUCUCUAAUGAAGACCCCCUUCAGGCUGCUUGGAAGAUCUGGAAAAAUGAUUGUCCAGAAAAGAAAAGGUAGAGACAAAUGGAAAAAAUAUAUAAUCCUGGAUGGGCAGAGGUAUUGUGGAUAGAUGAAGGCGUGAUUAACAAGCAUUCACACAAAGUGCUUAGAGCUGUCUCUGUGUUCAUGGUGCUCUGAGAUAAAUAGCUUCAAUAUCCUGUAUUGUGAUGGCAUGGCAACAGUUGCUUUGCCCUCUUAGGCGAGGUUGUGGCAAUGAAAGACACCAGCUUUUAAAAAGAUAUCUGACCUUUCAAUGACCCCAGUGUCCCCAGUUUACUUUAGAUGUGACCUCCACCAAGCACAGGAACAAUAAGCAUGAAGCCAUAAAAAGGAGGCUGUUGGAAAGGCUGGGUCACAAAGUUGUACUAAUGCACUGUUUUUCCCCUAUUUAAUCCUGUAUAGAAAUGACCCAACCUUUUGCCCUCUCUGUCAACAACACAAUCAACCUUACCCUGGUUUUAACCCUACAAAUCUUUGUAUGUGUGUUUAUAAGCUGGUUAACAAAAUAAAUUAUUAAGAGUUUAACUAAUUAUAACUGGGGAGCUGGAUGACAAGUGGGAGCUCACUGGUUAUAGAAUGCCUUUAUUUGUCAUUUAUACAUACAAAUGUACAAUACAACAAAAUCCAUUCUUCACAUAUCCCAGCUUGUUUAGAAGCUGGGGUCAGAGCACAGAGUCAGCCAUUGUACAGUGCCCCUGGAGCAUACAGGGCCUUUCUCAAGGGCCCAACGCUACAUGGCAGAGCUGGGAUCCGAACUCUCAACCUUUCAGCUGAUAGCACAAAGCCCUACCCACUAGGCUACCACUGUCCCAAUGGUACUGGACUAGUAACUAAAAAGGCUCUGGUUUCAUCCUGAACACAGCCAGGUUCUCAUUAUUGGGCCAUUUAACAAAGCCCUUACUCAAUUGCUUGGAUCGAGUUGCUUACAUAAUAUGAAUUAUUCGGUCAGAGUUGUAUUUACUGCUUUAUGUUGAAUAAAAUUAUUUGCCAUAAA